GACGAACGCUGGCGGCGUGCUUAACACAUGCAAGUCGAACGGAAAGGCCCUGCUUUUGUGGGGUGCUCGAGUGGCGAACGGGUGAGUAACACGUGAGUAACCUGCCCUUGACUUUGGGAUAACUUCAGGAAACUGGGGCUAAUACCGGAUAGGAGCUCCUGCUGCAUGGUGGGGGUUGGAAAGUUUCGGCGGUUGGGGAUGGACUCGCGGCUUAUCAGCUUGUUGGUGGGGUAGUGGCUUACCAAGGCUUUGACGGGUAGCCGGCCUGAGAGGGUGACCGGCCACAUGGCGACUGAGAUACGGCCCAGUCGCCUACGGGAGGCAGAAGUGGGGAAUAUUGCACAAUGGGCGGGAGCCGGAUGCAGCAACGCCGCGUGCGGGAUGACGGCCUUCGGGUUGUAAACCGCUUUCGCCUGUGACGAAGCGUGAGUGACGGUAAUGGGUAAAGAAGCACCGGCUAACUACGUG
rnacentral:rRNA from 1 species